CCAUAGGGAAGGGAAGUGUCCCAGUCCAGGAUCAUACUUGAUGGACAAGCCUGGCCGUGGGAUAAAGGAGAGGAAUCUCUAGCUCCCGUGACAAGGAUGUCAUCCUGAACAUUCUCAGUGUCCUCACUGACUUGCUGUCUCUGGGGACUGGACGGAGGAUCCACUACGUGAUCAGCAAAGGGGGCAGUGAGGCGUUGCU